ACAGAGCGUGCGCGGAAACGGGAGUCCCGUCCUGCCCCGUCUCCCACCAAUCCCCACUCAAGAAGGCACGCCUGCGCAUUAGCUGUACGACGCCCCAAUCGUCCUUUGUCGAAGCCCAGGGAUCCACCUUUUGCCAUAACAAAAGGACGUUGGCAUCCAAUCAGGAUUGAGGCUGAUGUGGGCGGGUCCAGGAAAAGCAACACCCAAUGGCAGUACAGAGGCGAAGUUAGGCGUGAGAAAGCCAGUACCAGGAAAGCAGCCCUUCGGUCUCAGCAGGAGCCUGAAAAUUGGGGUCAGAAAUCCAGUGUGGAAAAUUCUGACAGCUGUCAGGAAGGAGGUUAUUGAAUUCAUUGGAGAGUGAGUGAUGUCCUAAAUUUGAUGGAGAGAAUCGCUGAAAGUUGGAGUGAGAUGGGCAUUCCAAGUGGGUUGACCUUGCCUGAUACAUCUGCAGUAUAUGUCUGAGACUGCCACCCUCAGCAUUGCUUGGUGCUUUGGAAGCCAUGGAAGCCACACCUGCCAGUGUGGGUUUUAGACUCUGGUUAUAAGUGCCUUUUUUUUUUUUUUUUUUAAGUAUUUGUGAUCCUAAAGGGUCUUCUUUGACUUCUUCCCAACUUGAUGAAAAGGUUAGAAAAUUAUGACUGAAUAGGGGAAAGCUAAGUUAGAAGCUAGUUCCCAGGGACCCUCACCCUAACUUUUCUGCUGCAUGGUUAGUUUCUCCUUCCUUUCUGAAGAGAGUGCCCAGAGGCUGUCUGUGCUUUGCUCUCCUCUUGGGAGUUGUCCCCAUCAAUCCCAUAGGAGGGGUUGUUCACCCAUCAUGGCAGCCAUGGAGGCACAUGACUCAGUUCUCCUUUGACGAGAACUUGCUGGGCUGUUGGGGUGAAGGGACUAGCUGACUGACAGCUUCUAGCUCCUGCACCUUUGGAUCCACCGGAUUUCUGGAUUGCUCCCAAUCAAUGACAGAGAAUUGUUGGGUUACUAACCCAUUCCUCCUAAAUGUGGAAUUAUCUAAGGGGAAGUUCUGACUCAGGGCCUUCCCAUUGACUUGGCCAAGAUUUACUUAGAACCCCACUGGGGUCAAUAACUCUUCCAACUCAACUCUUCCUUCCGUGUCUUCUUUCAUGGAUGUCAGGCCUGCAUCGAGUCUAGACUCUUCUGCAUAUUCUUGUUUCCCUUUUAUUUUUUAUGAGUGUUUACUGCAAUAAAUAUCUUGUAUAUCUAA